AUUGAACGCUGGCGGCAGGCCUAACACAUGCAAGUCGGGCGAGUGGCGGACGGGUGAGUAAUGUCUGGGGAUCUGCCUGAUGGAGGGGGAUAACUACUCGAAACGGUAGCUAAUACCGCAUACCAUCAGAUCAUCCCAUAUGGGAUUAGCUUGUAGGUGAGGUAACGGCUCACCCAGGCGACGAUCCCUAGCUGGUCUGAGAGGACGAAAAGCCACACUGGGACUGAGACACGGCCCAGACUCCUACGGGAGGCAGCAGUGGGGAAUAUUGCACAAUGGGCGCAAGCCUGAUGCAGCCAUGCCGCGUGUAUGAGGAAGGCCUUCGGGUUGUAAAGUACUUUCGGUCGGGAAGCGUUACCGGCAGAAGAAGCACCGGCUAACUCCGUGCCAGCAGCCGCGGUAAUUC
rnacentral:rRNA from 1 species